AUCUUUUAAAUAUAUUUGUAUAUUUGACUUCCAAUCAAAAAGACUAAUUUUUUUUAGAAAAGAUA
rnacentral:tRNA from 1 species